ensembl:lncRNA
GGGGAAAGUGACAGCACCCUGUGGUUUCCUUUCCAUCGACUCACACUCAUAUGACCUUACUCAGGCAGCCGGCGGAAAAAAAAAUCUGGGUUUCUAAAACCCUCAGCUCGUUUGCUGCAACAGUAAACACUGACAAAACUGUCAGAGACAGAGACUCAAUGUCGGAAGGAAAAAUUGAAGGGAAGGAGACGUGGAUGAAGGGAAAAAUGGGAUUAGGACUUGCGUAAAAGGAUGAAGUGACGGAUGAGGAGGACGGGUAAAACAGAGGGGAAUCGGCAAGGGCGGAGGGGACACAGAAGUGGAAAGGAAGGAAUCAGGGACGGAAAGAGGCAGAGAAGAUGGUCUGACCAUCCAAUGCAGGGCUGUGUUUAGGGACACCUCUGGGACAUUACAGAUGGCUGGGCAACAGUUGAGCGAGGGAAAAGGGAAGUACUUCUCUUACAAAAUGGUGACACCAAAUUUUGGACGAUCUGCAAAAUAAUUGAAAUCCGACCAUACAGACACGAAACCGAGUGCCACUGUUUGUCUUUGGACUUCUAUGUGCUCUGAUUUUUAAACGCAAG